GCUAAGCUACAUGAGAUGGCAUUUACUAGAUUGGACAGACAUGGUGAUCGUCUUGUAUAAUUUGUUGGAUUAGCAGUAGUUCUUCUUUCUCAGUCUGAUCCCUUUUUAUUUCGACGGACGACCUAAUUCAAGCUGAUCAACUUUGGUUAGCAAGAUUCUACGUUUCUUGGCUCUAGCAACCUAUUAGGUCGACUGUUGCUGAGGAAGACCUACC
rnacentral:lncRNA from 1 species